GCCCUCUCCUGCGUUGGGUCGUUUCUGGGAGUGCGCUGCGAACGCUGGGUCUUGGAGGUGGUGGCCUCCGCGGCGCUUGUGGUGUACUAAAAGACAAAAUGCUACUGAUCUACAUUUUAUUGCCAGGUUAAAACGGGAGAAAACUAGGUCCACUAUAAAGCGUCUACUGCCCUAGUUGUCAAUAUUCAGGUGGAGAUAUUAGUCCAGAGCCAAAAGAAAACAACUUCAAACCAACUAUCUUAAUUUAAAAAUAAGUCACUACAGAUAGAGCUCUUUGGAAAGAGAGAGGAUGGGAUUUCAGAUUUGCUGAUGUCGAUUUGCAGAAGAUGAAGGGCUAGAAUCAUGCAUCUGACCUUCAAGAGACUCAUCUUCCAUAGUUGCUGAUCCGCAAGGGAAAUUAUGUACAACUGUGCCAUGGUAGACAGGCAGGCCAUCGCUCUUUGCAGAAGCCUGGCCCUGUGUGCCCGGUGGGGAGGCGGUCCAGCAUGAUGACUGAAAGCACAGACACUGGGUGCUUUCCGGCCGCCUGGGCUCAGACCCUGGCUCCAUCAUUUAUUAGCUAGACUGUUGCUGUUGUCAUUGUCAUUCUUGCUGCUGCCAGCCUUUGCAUGGGCACCUGAAAGAAGCCCUGGGGAAAACUGUUUCUCAGAAAGUGAACAGAAUCUCCCCUGGACCUCCGUCGUCUCAUUGAUGAGACAAAUCCUGAUCCAGGAAAACUUCCGCCUUUUUCUGAUGGCGAAUUUCAUCCAAGCCUUCCAUUGACCUUUCUUCAGUAACUUCAUGGUGAUCUUCGCAGAUAAUCUUGUUCCUGAGGGUGUUCUUCCUUCUUCCAUAAGGAGCAUUGAAGACAGGGCAGGCUGUAUAUGCCCACAGUUAUGUGAUGAUUCUUCGUGUAUCUUCCUACAAGGAUUAAAGAUUUGACUCUUACCUGGCUGAGGAAAUUAAAAACCUGAUUGUAUCAGUAGUUUGAAAAAAUGACACGCAUUUAUUAAGAAAUCCAAAGAUUCAUAGCCUCAGACAUUAUACAAGAUUCAGUAGAAACAUAAUGGAUACAAGAGAUGAAAGGAAAAAGAGGAAGGAGAGGCCAAUGAGGGCUGAACGAUGUGAUAAUUAAACAUUUUAUCUUUUGAAUUUUGUCCCCCUGAGCUUUCUCAUUUAAGCCUCAGCAGAGCUGUGGAAGAAAAUAAAUGGCUUCCUGUGAGCAUGUGGUUUUGCUUUACCUGGGUGUUUAAGAUUCCUGUGACUGUUACAAGGAAGAAGAGUGGCUUGAUCAAGAAUUUGUGAAGCCAGAUUUCAAAACGCUUGGCUGAACGACUGAGUCCUGGAAUUCCAGAGCAUUGUUAAAAUUCCAUGGUCAUGACCACUACUGUAGAGAGCAUGUCCUCCUCCAAAAAAUGUAUCGGCCUGCUGUUUAUUGCACCAUUUGGAGAUUUGAUAAAUCAAAUUGUUCCCCUUAACCUAAAUAUAUCCUCCAAAAAUAUGGCUUAAGCUAGGGCCAGCCCGGUGGUGUAGCAGUUAAGUUCACGUGCUUCAUUCUGACGGCCUCCGGUUUCCUGGUUCAGAUCCCAGGUGCAGACCUAGCACCGCUUAUCAAGCCAUGCUGGAGCAGGCGUCCCACAUAUAAAGUCGAGGAAGAUGGG
rnacentral:lncRNA from 1 species